GGCCGAGUGGUGGAAUUGGCAGACACGCGACGCUCAGAACGUCGUGCCGUAAGGCGUGGGAGUUCGACUCUCCCCUUGGUCA
rnacentral:tRNA from 1 species